rnacentral:rRNA from 1 species
UACGAGGGGUGCAAGCGUUAUUCGGAAUUACUGGGCGUAAAGCGCACGUAGGCGGCUUUGUAAGUUAGAGGUGAAAGCCUGGAGCUCAACUCCAGAACUGCCUUUAAGACUGCAUCGCUUGAAUCCAGGAGAGGUGAGUGGAAUUCCGAGUGUAGAGGUGAAAUUCGUAGAUAUUCGGAAGAACACCAGUGGCGAAGGCGGCUCACUGGCCCGGUACGUGACGCUGAGGUGCGAAAGCGUGGGGAGCAAACAGGG